UACGUACGAGGCGAGCGUUAUCCGGAAUUACUGGCGUAAAGCGCGCGCAGGCGGAUGUUUAAGUAGGGCGUGAAAUCUCCCGGCCUAACUGGGAGGGGUCGCCCUAGACUGGGCGUCUUGAGGACAGGCAGAGGUGGGUGGAAUUCCGUGGUGUAGUGGUGAAAUGCGUAGAGAGUCAGGAGGAACACCGGUGGCGAAGGCGGCCCACCUGGGCUGAUCGACUG
rnacentral:rRNA from 1 species